CCAAAACCUCCUUCCUGCACCAAGACUUAAGCCAUGCAUUGACAUCUCUAAUCUCCCACUGCCUUUCCACUGUAGCGUGUGGCACAGGUAAUAUCUCAGAAUUCCACCUUUGAGGUCCUUUUCUUAAAUUUGCUACCUAAUUCCCUGAAAUUAUUCUUUAGGACCUUCGAUUUUCCUCUUACUUUAUCAUUGGUACCAGAAUGAACCAUGGAUGCUGGGUCAUCC